GGCCGGUUGGUGUAGUUGGUUAUCACGCAUCGUUAACACCGAUGAGGUCGCCAGAUCGAGCCUGGCACUGGUCA
rnacentral:tRNA from 1 species